GUGUAAGAAGCCAGAUCUCAAAUCAGGACUUUCAAAGUCAAAGACCUCAGCAGUGAAAAAUCAUGUGAUAGUGACUGUUAUUCCAGCAUAAAAGCAAUCCUCUGCCUCAUUAUUGAUGCUGACGUCAUCGGACCUUCAUCACGCAGCUUGAGUGGCUUGGGCCGGAAGAACCAGAUCUUUCCUUGGUAGAUUAAAAGGCGGCAUGGAAGAUGGAAGCCUGCCCGGUGCUUGUUCACAAGCCUCAGAUGUUUAGUUAACUGAUUCAUGGGAGCAGGUUUUCAAUGUCUCUCAAGAACACCAAGCCGCCGAUUCC
rnacentral:lncRNA from 1 species